rnacentral:RNase_P_RNA from 1 species
CAGAAAAGAUAUGACCGCGCGCGGUGCCGCUGAUGAUAACGGCAUCGCGUGAGGAAAGUCCGGGCUCCACCGGAAAAAAUACCGGCUAACGGCCGGGCAGGAGCGGGCAGUUGUAUGGAUAUGCAUAACCCCGUUCCUGACAGACAGUGCCACAGAAAACAAACCGCCUGAAAGGGUAAGGGUGCAAAGGCGGGGUAAGAGCCCACCGCAGGACUGGUAACAGUCCUGGCAAGGUAAACCUUAUUUGGAGCAAAGUCGAGCAGCAGUAACGCUUUUCCGGGCGCAUUACUGCGGGUAGGCUGCUGAAAUCAUCUGGCAACAGGUGAUUCGGAUAGAUGGUUAGGAGCGCGCAUCGCCUGCGGGCGGUGCCGUGAGACAGAACCCGGCUUAUCGUCUUUUCUGUUUU